GCUCCUUCAGCAGCUGCCUCUCGGCCUGAAGAGCUGCGUUCUAGGGGAGAAGCACGCGCCAGUUACACACAGCAUGCUCUCUUGUCCAUUGAGAAUCAUCGGGAUGGACUUCAUGAAGUCACUGCUGUGAAACAAACAGAACUGGAGGACUUAGCAUGCACUGGAGACCUUUUUCUGAUAAGGGCCAAGAGUAAGUACUCUCAGGUCUGGUGGCCACAUUAUCUCUGUCCCAACGACGAAAGCUGCCCCUGCCCUGGCAGUGGGAAAGCAGCCAGAGCACGUGCAAAUAUAAAAGGUGCGGCUGCAUGUCAAUAAAGCUUUGCUUAGAUACAGCUUGGGAGGAGAGGCUGGGAUGCAGCUCUGGAAAACCCAACACGAUGGGGAUGAGGCUGGUGGAUCUGCUCUGGGCGUGUCACAGCAGGUAGGCUUCAGCCCGGGAGACUGGGUGUGCUCCCCCUGGGCCAGGACAACUCAGCAGUGACAGUCUGCUAUACUGGGACACCUGCAAACAGUGUGGUCACUUUGCGGGCAGCCCACUCACACUGCGCUCCAGCUCGAUGGCCCGGUCCUUCACACGGAGUAGCUCCAUGGUGGCCUCUUUAUGGCUGGGCUCCCAGGCCUCCUUCUCUUGGUGACUGGUGACCUUGCCCGGAGGGCGCUUCAGUGCGUUCUGUGCCUUGUCUCCACCCUCUUGGGUCUGCCUCAGCUGCUCAUGUUCUUUCUUUAUCUGCAGGCCAUGUUGAAAAGCAGACUCAGGUGGGAAGGAGCCGCGCAGGAACCCCAGGAGUGGGUAGGGAGGGACCCCUCACAGAGUCUCAGACACCCACCCACGCACCCCCCCCCCCCGAGGAGGGAUGGGCCAUGUGUUCCUCCCCCAAAAAAGGAAAGGUGGGGAUGUGAACUCAUGCCUGCCUCAGGCCCCACCUUAGUUACAUGUCUACAGCUCUUAUUGGUUGCCUGAGCCUCCAGUCUAUGCCACACAAUAGAGGCAAACCAGGCACAAUCAGUCAGUCAUACAUCUCACAGAGGCCUUGCCAGCUCUGCCUCUGUCUGACUUCAGAUCCCAAAUAACUCUGUAACCAGGGCAUGUGCCACAUGUUCAAAAAAGGGAAACCAUAUACGAGUCCACCCAUAGAUGGAGACUGGGAUGCACACAAAAGUGUGCGCGUGUGUAAACCACCUUAUUGACAUGCGUGGAAAGUGUGAGAAAAGCAUGUCUAUAUGUAUAUAGCGUGUGCACAUGUGUUCAUGUUCUCAACAUGUACUUGUAUGUGCCUAAGAGCUGACAUAUAUUCAUGAAGGUCCUGUCUCAUCCAAGGGGCCUGCGGAGCCUGCAGGUCUUUACUUGGUCCUCUCGACUUUCUUAUGUGCCUGUUCUUGACCUGGAAGUGUGGGACUGCCCUGAGCCCACUCACUGUGUAUCUGCUUCCUCCCCACUAUGUAUCUGGCUCGUGUGUGCCCCUAUACCCUGAGGUUGGCACCCUCAGGAUCCUACAUCUCGUCAUCUGUCCAAAGCACUGCUCUUGGUAGCUCUGGGGAGGGUAUGACCUCAGCCUGGCCCUUACCAUCUGCAGCUCAAUCUGGAGUUGGCGACUCAAGCUCUCUUUCUCUUCCACCUGUGCCUCCAAAAACACAAUCUUUUCUUCUUUCAUAGCCAGUGUUGUUUUCAAGGCUGAUUCGGUUUUGCCUUUUCUGACAACAUAAAGAGACAAUAAUAGUACAGUCUUCAUCCCCUUCACCUCUAAUCCCAUCUCCCUGUGGUCAUCUUCCCACUAAGCUGGUUUUAUCUGCCACCAGCAGAAGGUGUCCCAGGGACCCUGGGAGCCAAACCCAUUGCCUAGACCCCUUACAGGGGGUGGGAGAAGAGGCUGUUUCUUCAGCUGACACAUCUGUAACACCAUCACACAAAAUACUAUGACUCCAUGUUACAGCCACCUCUUAAAGAAGUGUUCUUUCACAAACACUUUACAGACAGGGAGACUCCAUCUCAGAAAACCCCAGAUCUCGGUCCAGGGUCACAAGACCAGGCGUGUGGCAGGCCUGCAGCCUUCCCACUGCAACAAACAUGUCAAAGCAGGCAUGUGAAUCUUGUUGGCUACAAAUCCAGAAAAGGGUUGCCAAUACUAGAUUUCUUUGAAAAGCCAUGCUGUUCAAGGAAAGCAGAGCUGGGAAAAACUGCAAACAUCGAAUUAAAAAGAGAAGUGGCUCUUCCUGUGGCUGGGUGCAGGUCAGUCUGGAGCCUGUCACACACGCAGGAGGCCCUGGGGUUAUUGGCCAGAACCACACAUAGUCUUUUUAUCACACAAAACAAUCUCCUUCCAUAUCUCCUGAGACUCCUAGGGCCAAGACCUGAGCCGCCUAGGACAGACACGGAGUCGAGCCACACAGUGACCCAGAAGUUCAGCCUCAUCAGAGCAGAGCGGUAGGUAAUGCAAGGUGCCCGCCGUCCUUACCCGUCACCGUGACCGUCAUCCUCCUGCAGCAACAGGUCCUUGCUGAGGCCGACCUUCUCCAGCUCCUGGCUCAGCUUGUCCAGCUCGCUGCUUAGCUGCUGGCUCUUCAACUUCUCCAGCACCAGGUCCUGCAAGACAGGAAACACCACUGUGGAUGGGAGUCACAGCUUUGAGCCAUCUCUUCCCCAAACCUGUUGGUUUCAGAUGUUUCAGGCAAGCAGGCUGGCUGAUGGUGUGGUCAACUCCAGAAUGCUCCACCAAAAGAAAGGGGUGAACAGCCUUUCCCAGCCCUCCUGUGCUGUGAACAACGGACCACGUGGCAACAGAGAACAGAACCGGAGUGCUCUUCAAAACGGAAUCCGGACGAUGAGGUCGAGUUCAUCUCCACGGUCCCCUUGGCUUCCAUCCUCAAGCUCGCUGGGGGGAGCUAUUACCUCCUGCCUGAGGCACAGAUAUCCCUCCGACCAAAUCAUAUGCAGAAUAGUACCCCCACCGUGCAAUUUUCCAGACAGGAGCAGGAUAGCACCCUGGAUUGGUAAAUCCCAGGACAGAUGGCAGACUGCUGUCCAGACUGUGGCACAUAGCAGCCUGUAGUCGCCUUAGGCUGAGCUCCAGAGAGCAUCAUCAUCUCUCUCCCUUGAUCCUCUACUGCCAUGUGCUGAGGAGCCAGGACGCUCCGCUAUGGGAUGGUUUAAUCACAAGCUGGAAGGAGCCUGGUACCUGAAUCAGUGAGCGGAAGACUCCUGGAACAUAGGCUGAGACAAAACCUGCAGGUUGGACCACCCAGACGCUAAUGCUGUCCUCUAGAGCUAUACCGUAAACAAGCACCCGACAAUCCAAAGAGACACCAGGGAAGCACAGGAUGCCACAGGCUAAAUGGUCACACACUUUGGUCCCAUUGCUCCAGUUCCAGGAACACGUCCUUUACAAAGUGCCUGAUGUGUCCAAGGAUGUCCAAGACCACUGAAGCGGGAAGAGCUGGGGACGCUGCUCAGAGAGCAUGCUCAAGACUGCGUGUUCUCAAUCCUCAACACCAAAGAGGAAGAAAAAGACCCCAAGCCCCAAACAAAACAGCGGGGAAUACUGGAAACAAUCUAAGGGGCCUAUAAUUAGCAAAGUAAAUCUGUAGGCUUUAGUAUCUUGGCUUUCAAACCUGUUCACUGUGGGGACAGUGACUCUGCAGCCAAGGGCAUUUGCUGACAAGCCUGGCAACCAGAACCCAAAUGUUGGGACGACAGAAAAGACUCCCUCUCACACAUGCCUACAGACACACACAUACAAAAGUAAAUAAAUAAAUGGAAGAAAAGAAAACCAUGACCCAAAA